rnacentral:tRNA from 1 species
GGCUCUAGCUCUAUUGCAGAGCUCCAGCCUUCCAGCUGGUGACGCCGGUUCGAUCCCGACGAGCUCCA